AGUGAACGCUGGCGGCGUGCCUAAUACAUGCAAGUCGAACGGAGUGGCGCACGGGUGAGUAAUGUAUAGCUAAUCUGCCCUACACUAGAGGCCAACAGUUGGAAACGGCUGCUAAUACUCUAUAGUGUAGGAUGAGGCUAUAUUGUAUCAGCUAGUUGGUGAGGUAAUGGUUCACCAAGGCUAUGACGCAUAACUGGUCUGAGAGGAUGAUGAGUAACACGGGAACUGAGACAAGGUCCAGAAUACUACGGGAGGCAGCAGUAGGGAAUAUUGCUCAAUGGGGGAAACACAGAAGCAGCAACGCCGCGUGGAGGAUGAAACUUUUCGGAGCGUAAACACCUUAUGUUAGGAAAGCGGUACCUAACGAAUAAGCACCGGCUAACUCCGUGCCAGCAGCCGCGGUAAUAC
rnacentral:rRNA from 1 species